GGCUGCUCGACGCGCGGCGGCGCGGCGCUCGGCUUCGGCCCGGGCCGCGGCGGCACGCAGGUUCGCCAGCAGCGUUUCCAGUGCCUUGGCAUCCU
rnacentral:tRNA from 1 species